rnacentral:rRNA from 1 species
UACGUAGGGUGCGAGCGUUGUCCGGAAUUAUUGGGCGUAAAGGGCUCGUAGGCGGUUUGUCGCGUCUGCUGUGAAAACUGGGGGCUCAACCCCCAGCCUGCAGUGGGUACGGGCAGACUAGAGGUAGGUAGGGGAGAAUGGAAUUCCCGGUGUAGCGGUGAAAUGCGCAGAUAUCGGGAGGAACACCGGUGGCGAAGGCGGGUCUCUGGGGCAGUAACUGACGCUGAGGAGCGAAAGCGU